CGUCUCCUGGGAUGUUAGCGAGUGGUCGCGUCCUUGAGCCGUUAUAAAAACGUCAGGAAACUUUUCGUUAGCUCUGUGUGCUUACCCAAUCUGAUGGGCCGCCUUCGAGUUGGCUGAGGUUUCCGCCUUGAAUCUAAACGGUUCAGGGCAAACCAACAGCGGCAUUGCCGGGAGACUC
rnacentral:other from 1 species